GUCUACGGCCAUACCUAGGUGAAAACACCAGUUCCCGUCCGAUCACUGCAGUUAAGCGUCUGAGGGCCUCGUUAGUACUAUGGUUGGAGACAACAUGGGAAUCCGGGGUGCUGUAGGCUCCUUUUUUUUAA